UACGAAGGGUGCAAGCGUUAAUCGGAAUUACUGGGCGUAAAGCGUGCGUAGGCGGUUUCUUAAGUCUGCUGUGAAAUCCCCGGGCUCAACCUGGGAAUGGCAGUGGAUACUGGGAAGCUAGAGUGCAGAAGGGGCAAUCGGAAUUCUUGGUGUAGCGGUGAAAUGCGUAGAUAUCAAGAGGAACACCUGAGGUGAAGACGGGUUGCUGGGCUGACACUGACGCUGAGGCGCGAAAGCCAGGGGAGCAAACGGG
rnacentral:rRNA from 1 species